GACUUCCGGGUUAGCGCCAUCGCCGAAUGGCGGACUCCCUCCGAGCUCCGGAGGGAGUCUGCUCGGCAGGGGCUGGGUCCUACCGCGCCGGCGACGCGGGGACCCUUAAAAACCACGGGCACGGAGUCCGUGGACAUGGGUGACUCGGCUUGCACCAUUAGCGCCCUCCCGACUCGUGAAGGAGCCUUUUAAAGGCUUCGGAUCGGGUGCCGGGGAGUGGCGUGGUGCUUUGAGUCCACUGCUUCCCUGCCGAGCGCAGCCGCAUGCCAUUCGACGGAGAGCGCUGACUUCUUCUAUUGAAAAUUUGGACUAUUAACAACAACCCGUGAGUAAUUGGGAAACCGGGUUCAAAAUUUUGGAUUUGGCACGAGCGGGGGCGAUUUAAAAGGAAGUCAAUCCCCCCCACUAUUGUAAGCAUUCCAAAACAAGGACUGGGUAACCAAGGUCCAAAGGGAAGUAUGUCUCUGAUAAAAAUCAUUAAUUUCACGGUGAGAAAUUAUAAGAAAUGUGCUGGAGGAGAAGAGUGGAGGGUGAGAAGAAAAUGCAACCCCCCUGGGAACCGGGGCGAUUCGUGGAGCCUGGUGAAGAGAGACGGAGACUUUGACAGCUGUCAAAGUGGCUGUCAAAGCUGGAGAAUAUAAAGAGGACUUUAUGAGGACCUUGCUGGUUAAUUUUGUUACAAUUUGCUAUAAUAUGGAUAUAAACUGUUGGAAAAUAAGCAACAAUUUGACUUUUGGAUUAGAGGAUACAAAGUUAUUACAAAACCCCUAGAGGGGUUUCGGGAUACUACAAGAACGGUCGUAAGUGGAAAAAUACCCUGGGAUUCGCACAGGAUUUGUUAUCUUCUGGGAAAGCUGCAAAACUGAAAGAGUAUUUUGUCUACAGAGGAAGACAAUGGAAUUUUUUAUUGAAGAAAGAAAGGGACUGGACGUAAGUUUUUGUUCCUGAAUAACAAACCUCUGCAGAGACACUAGAUUUCUGAAUUAGAAAGUUUUAGCAGCUGAACAGGACAAGAAACCUGAGAAAGUGAGGAAUAAGAAGAAUAAAGGACUGAUUACGACACGGAAAGAACAACGGGAGGAGUGGUAAAGAUCAAGGAAAUUAAAGGCCUUUGUUAGAUUGGACAUUUGAAGUCAAAUAUUAUUUAAAUUAAUAAACUAAAAGAAAACCGGCAAGAUGGAAUCGGGGAGAAAUCUGGUCAUGAAAUGAGACUUCCAAGCUGAUAAUGUAUAGACUGAUGGACAUGGGGAAUUCAAACCGGGGAAGGGGGGGGGGGAGAUUUGAAAUCCAAAGGCUGUGUAACCAUUUUUUGAAUUUUUCUAUAUCUCUUAUUUUCUAUUUCUUUACAUAACUUACGCAUGUUAUUUUACUUUGAUCGGACGUGUUUAAAAAAAAGGGAAUUUGUGGAAGGAACUGGGGUGGAUCUUGGGGAAAAUCUUUUUUCUUUUUCUGUUAAUGAUGUGGGACGGUGGUAAGAUUUGUACAAUUCAAUCUGGAUAGUGGGUUAAACAAAUUAAGCUUUAAAUUGGGAGUGAGAGCUUGUAGAACCAAAUUAAGGAAAGGGGAAUACAAUUGGGGGGGGGAGGGGGGGAGUCCCAGAAAGUAGGGAAUGAAAGUAAGGUUUUUAAAUAUCUUUUUUCUUUUGUCUUUUUUCUUUGUAUUUUUAUAUUUUUGGAAACUUUAAUAAAUAUGAUUUAAAAAAAAAAAAAACAAA
rnacentral:lncRNA from 1 species